GACGAACGCUGGCGGCGUGCUUAACACAUGCAAGUCGAACGGAAAGGCCCUUCGGGGUACUCGAGUGGCGAACGGGUGAGUCACACGUGGGUGAUCUGCCCUGCACUUUGGGAUAAGCCUGGGAAACUGGGUCUAAUACCGAAUAGGACCACGCGCUUCAUGGUGUGUGGUGGAAAGCUUUUGCGGUGUGGGAUGGGCCCGCGGCCUAUCAGCUUGUUGGUGGGGUAAUGGCCUACCAAGGCGACGACGGGUAGCCGGCCUGAGAGGGUGACCGGCCACACUGGGACUGAGAUACGGCCCAGACUCCUACGGGAGGCAGCAGUGGGGAAUAUUGCACAAUGGGCGCAAGCCUGAUGCAGCGACGCCGCGUGAGGGAUGACGGCCUUCGGGUUGUAAACCUCUUUCACCAGGGACGAAGCGUAAGUGACGGUACCUGGAGAAGAAGCACCGGCCAACUACGUG
rnacentral:rRNA from 1 species